UACGUAGGUGGCAAGCGUUGUCCGGAUUUACUGGGUGUAAAGGGCGUGUAGCCGGGCUGACAAGUCAGAUGUGAAAUCCGGGGGCUCAACCCCCGAACUGCAUUUGAAACUGUUGGUCUUGAGUAUCGGAGAGGCAGGCGGAAUUCCUAGUGUAGCGGUGAAAUGCGUAGAUAUUAGGAGGAACACCAGUGGCGAAGGCGGCCUGCUGGACGACAACUGACGGUGAGGCGCGAAGGCGUGGGGAGCAAACAGG
rnacentral:rRNA from 1 species